AACGAACGCUGGCGGCAUGCCUAGCACAUGCAAGUCGAACGAGACCUUCGGGUCUAGUGGCGCACGGGUGCGUAACGCGUGGGAACCUGCCCUUAGGUUCGGAAUAACUCCCCGAAAGGGGUGCUAAUACCGGAUAAUGUCUUCGGACCAAAGAUUUAUCGCCUUUGGAUGGGCCCGCGUUGGAUUAGCUAGUUGGUAGGGUAAAAGCCUACCAAGGCGACGAUCCAUAGCUGGUCUGAGAGGAUGAUCAGCCACACUGGGACUGAGACACGGCCCAGACUCCUACGGGAGGCAGCAGUGGGGAAUAUUGGACAAUGAGCGAAAGCCUGAUCCAGCAAUGCCGCGUGAGUGAUGAAGGCCUUAGGGUUGUAAAGCUCUUUUACCCGGGAUGAUAAUGACAGUACCGGGAGAAUAAGCUCCGGCUAACUCCGUG
rnacentral:rRNA from 1 species